CACGUAGGGCGCAAGCGUUGUCCGGAAUUAUUGGGCGUAAAGAGCUCGUAGGCGGUCUGUUGCGUCUGCUGUGAAAACCCGGGGCUUAACCCCUGGCUUGCAGUGGAUACGGGCAGACUAGAGUGCGGUAGGGGAGAUUGGAAUUCCUGGUGUAGCGGUGGAAUGCGCAGAUAUCAGGAGGAACACCAAUGGCGAAGGCAGAUCUCUGGGCCGUAACUGACGCUGAGGAGCGAAAGCAUGGGGAGCGAACAGG
rnacentral:rRNA from 1 species